rnacentral:tRNA from 1 species
GCCCGGGUGGCGAAACUGGUAGACGCAAGGGACUUAAAAUCCCUCGGUAGCAAUACCGUGCCGGUUCGACUCCGGCCCCGGGCACCA